rnacentral:lncRNA from 1 species
AAGUAUCACAACUAUUGAGAGGUAUAUAUAUCAAGAUAUUGGGGCCUCCUCCACGUCCGCCUCUUGUAAAUGCAUGUCAUCUCUGGCUGUUGGCAUGAUGGCUCAGGCAUGGUAUCAACUGAUGGGAAGGGAGGUGAUGGCAUGCUUGGCCUAUCAACAUAUGUCUGGCAUCUACCUCGGAUAACUCUCAGUCGAUCCCGACCUCUGGCCCUCCCAUGCUGAUCAAAGUGCUGCUCAUCAGAUCGAUACGAUAUGUCUCUUGGCUCGCUCAUCCUCUAUGAUAUAGAUGCAUCAUCUACGGAGAGGUUAAAGUCCAAAAAGCCAGCAUAUAAGGUAUGCUGGGCAUAUGAAGAGGUACUCAGAUCAUCCAUUGAUGGUACAGUAUAAAGUUAUCUAUCCUCUGAGAUAACUCGCAUAGUAUUAACAAAACCGUCCAUAACAUUGACAAGUACUCAAUCCUUGCACUCAACAGUG